CGAAUCCCCAAAACGCAGUCUCAGUUCAGAUUGUAGGCUGAAACUCGCCUAUAUGAAGUCGGAAUUGCUAGUAAUCGCGGAUCAGCAUGCCGCGGUGAAUACGUUCCCGGGCCUUGUACACACCGCCCGUCACACCAUGAGAGUCGAUAACACCCGAAGCCUGUAGUCUAACCGUAAGGGGGACGCAGUCGAAGGUGGGAUUGAUAAUUAGGGUGAAGUCGUAACAAGGUAGC
rnacentral:rRNA from 1 species